rnacentral:ncRNA from 1 species
CUACAGACUUAGACCAAAUUGAGUGCCAUCGGGGAAAUCCGAUGCGUAGAACUGCUCAAAUUCGGGGAAGCCUUUUACUGGUAAUCCCGAGCCAAGCCGGCGAAAGCCGGAAGGUGUAGAGACUAGACGGGCAGCACCUAAACCCCAUCAGGGCAUGGUGAAGGGAUAGUCCAGACCACGAACGCCUGUGCGGC